GACGAACGCUGGCGGCGCGCCUAACACAUGCAAGUCGAACGAGCGAGAGAGAGCUUGCUUUCUCGAGCGAGUGGCGAACGGGUGAGUAACGCGUGAGGAACCUGCCUCAAAGAGGGGGACAACAGUUGGAAACGACUGCUAAUACCGCAUAAGCCCACGACCCGGCAUCGGGUUGAGGGAAAAGGAGCAAUCCGCUUUGAGAUGGCCUCGCGUCCGAUUAGCUAGUUGGUGAGGUAACGGCCCACCAAGGCGACGAUCGGUAGCCGGACUGAGAGGUUGAACGGCCACAUUGGGACUGAGACACGGCCCAGACUCCUACGGGAGGCAGCAGUGGGGAAUAUUGCACAAUGGGGGGAAACCCUGAUGCAGCGACGCCGCGUGGAGGAAGAAGGUCUUCGGAUUGUAAACUCUGUUGACGGAGAAAAAAUGAUGGUAUCCGUUUAGAAAGACCACGGCUAACUACGUG
rnacentral:rRNA from 1 species